AGACUCUCGGCAACGGAUAUCUCGGCUCUUGCAUCGAUGAAGAACGUAGCGAAAUGCGAUACUUGGUGUGAAUUGCAGAAUCCCGUGAACCAUCGAGUCCUUGAACGCAAGUUGCGCCCGAAGGCCAUUAGGCUGAGGGCACGCCUGCCUGGGUGUUGCACAU
rnacentral:rRNA from 1 species